rnacentral:rRNA from 1 species
GACGAACGCUGGCGGCGUGCUUAACACAUGCAAGUCAAACGAAGAGCGAUGGAAGCUUGCUUCUAUCAAUCUUAGUGGCGAACGGGUGAGUAACGCGUAAUCAACCUGCCCUUCAGAGGGGGACAACAGUUGGAAACGACUGCUAAUACCGCAUACGAUCUAAUCUCGGCAUCGAGGAAAGAUGAAAGGUGGCCUCUAUUUAUAAGCUAUCACUGAAGGAGGGGAUUGCGUCUGAUUAGCUAGUUGGAGGGGUAACGGCCCACCAAGGCGAUGAUCAGUAGCCGGUCUGAGAGGAUGAACGGCCACAUUGGGACUGAGACACGGCCCAGACUCCUACGGGAGGCAGCAGUGGGGAAUCUUCCGCAAUGGACGAAAGUCUGACGGAGCAACGCCGCGUGAGUGAUGACGGCCUUCGGGUUGUAAAGCUCUGUUAAUCGGGACGAAAGGCCUUCUUGCGAACAGUUAGAAGGAUUGACGGUACCGGAAUAGAAAGCCACGGCUAACUACGUG